rnacentral:tRNA from 1 species
AAGUUAGUACAUAUGACUUCCAAUCAUCCCGUCUUGGUUAAAACCCAAGGAAAGAUA